GGUGCCAUGAAGAUUGACAUAUAGCAAGCCAAUUAAGUUGAAGUAGAGCGGGGAAUUGACAACCUCUGAUAGACGGAAUAGGGAGAUUGUUCCCCUACUUGGGCUAUUUUGGUCCAAUAUUUAUAAACUGUAGGAACUUCUGGGAAGAUGGUGGAAUGGUGAACACUAGAGAAAAAGCCUCUUUGAGGUUUGGUGUCCAGAUGCUGGAAGAAAGCAAUGUGAGGAAGAGAAGAAGGAGAGAAGUGGGUCCCUGGGACCCAGCAAGGAUCUGAAGUGAGAAUUGAAGUCCAUGGGGAGAGCAAAGGGAGACUUCAACAAAGAAGAAGGAGGUGGCAAGAGGCACUUUUUCCCUGAGCCCUGACUCACCACAUGGGAAGGGUGGCUUGAACCUGCAGACACAUGGUGACUACUGGUGACGCCAGAGGCCUGCACAGAGAAAUGCACCAGUAGAAUGGAAUAGUGGAUGCAGCAGACUGCAGUGUCUGCACAAGGAGAUUUGGACAACAAGGACUCAUGAAGGACAGCACAUGUCAAGGCUGGGGAGAAGAAGAGGAGCCAAGAAGGAGCAGCCAGGGAGUAUACAUUUGUGAUCCAGAAAUACAUUCAGCAUGAGGAACUGCUACCGAAGUAAGACAGCAAAUCAACAAUCUAAGUUUCUUCAUCAAGAAAUUAGAAAACAAAGACCAAAAUCAAACCAAAACAAGCCUGAGGAAGGAACUAAUGAAGGUAAGAGGAGAAAUCAAUGUGAUUGAAAACUAGAAAACGAGAGAAUCAAUGAAACAAAAACCUCUUGAAGAUUGACUGUUAGGAAGAAUUUAGCAUGCAAUUUGUUUAUCAAGGAGUGUCUUUGGGUCAACAUGGAUAGAAGGGAUGGGAAGUCUUUUUUUAUUUUUGUUUUUUUUCUGUUAACACUGAUCAAUCCUCCAAUACUGACACCAGCCACCUGGAGUUCACAUAGAUUCUACAAGUGCAAGGACUGUAUGUCACUAAAAGGAAAUACUUCAGAUGCCAGCCUCAAGAGGGUGCUCAGGUAGCCAUACUUCUGCCCUGAACACCCAAUGUAUUCCCACAACCUGCUCACAGGCUGGAUAUUUCCAGAUGACUUACAGUGCUCAGAAGAACAUUUUCCUUACUUACAUUUAUGAGUUUAUUUUAAAGAGUAGACCCCCAAAUAGAAGACCCAAUCAGGAAAUGGAAAAGUGGGACACUUCAAAGAAGCAGUACAAAUGGCCCAUAAAUCCAUGAAGAAAUGCUCAACAUCCCUGGUGAUAUUAGAGAAAUGCAGAUUAAAACAACACUGAGAUUCCAUCUUACUCCAGAGAGAAGGACUAUCUUCAAGAAAUCAAGGAAUGGCAAAUGCUGGUGAGGCUGUGAGCGAAAAUGAACCCCUCUACGUUGUUGGUGGGAAUGUGAACUGGUAUAACCACUCUGGAAGUCAGUAUGGAGAUUCCUCAAAAAGCAAACUAGAAAUUCUAUCUGACCCAGCUAUUCCCCUUCUAGUUAUCUUC
rnacentral:lncRNA from 1 species